GAAAUGCGAUACGUAGUGUGAAUUGCAGAAUUCCGUGAACCAUCGAAUCUUUGAACGCAUAUUGCGCCCAAGACUUCGGUCAAGGGCAUGUCUGCCUCAGCGUCGGUUUAUACCCUUGCUUCCCCACUAUGUGGUGUGCACACCCUCACCGGUUGCCGGAAGCAGACCUGGCUUUCCCAAUCCACUAUCAAGUGACUUGGGUUGGCUGAAGUGCAGAGGCUAGAGCUUGGACCCGAUAUGGGCUCAACUGGAUAAGUACCGGCACCUGCCGAAUACACGAAGUUGACGCCUGUGGUCUUUGCUGGCGGCCAGCAGGAAACACACCUCGGUGUGCUCUAAACAUUCGACCUGAGCUCAGGCAAGACUACCCGCUGAACUUAAGC
rnacentral:misc_RNA from 1 species